GCUAAAUAAACUGGUGUUAGGAGCCUCAA
rnacentral:piRNA from 1 species